GUGUUUACUUUGGCAGCACACGUACUAAAAUUGAAAUGAUACCGAUAAGAGUAGCGUGGUCCCUGCACAAGGAUGGCAUGCAAAUUCAUGAAGUGUUCUAUAUUAUG
ensembl:snRNA U6 U6 spliceosomal RNA